rnacentral:rRNA from 1 species
AUUCCGGUUGAUCCUGCCGGAGGUCAUUGCUAUCGGGGUCCGAUUUAGCCAUGCUAGUCGCGCGGGUUAGACCCGCGGCGUAUAGCUCAGUAACACGUGGCCAAACUACCCUACAGACGAGAACAACCUCGGGAAACUGAGGCUAACACUCGAUACGCGUUGACCGUUUGAACACGUCGACGCUCAAACGCUCCGGCGCUGUAGGAUGUGGCUGCGGCCGAUUAGGUAGACGGUGGGGUAACGGCCCACCGUGCCGAUAAUCGGUACGGGUUGUGAGAGCAAGAGCCCGGAGACGGAAUCUGAGACAAGAGUUCCGGGCCCUACGGGGCGCAGCAGGCGCGAAACCUUUAACUGCACGCCAGUGCGAUAAGGGGACCCCGAGUGAAAGGGCAUAUCGCCCUUUCUUUUCUGAACCGUAGGGAGGUUCAGGAACAAGAGCUGGGCAAGACCGGUGCCAGCCGCCGCGGUAAUACCGGCAGCUCGAGUGAUGACCGAUUUUAUUGGGCCUAAAGCGUCCGUAGCUGGCCGCGCAAGUCCGUCGGGAAAUCCACCCGCUUAACGGGUGGGCGUCCGGCGGAAACUGUGCGGCUUGGGACAGGAAGGCUCGAGGGGUACGUUCGGGGUAGGAGUGAAAUCCCGUAAUCCUGAACGGACCACCGAUGGCGAAAGCACCUCGAGAGGACUGAUCCGACCAGUGAGGACGAAAGCUGGGGUCUCGAACCGGAUUAGAUACCCGGGUAGUCCCAGCCGUAAACGAUGUUCGCUAGGUGUGACACUCACUACGAGUGAGUGUUGUGCCGCAGGGAAGCCGCUAAGCGAACCGCCUGGGAAGUACGUCCGCAAGGAUGAAACUUAAAGGAAUUGGCGGGGGAGCACUACAACCGGAGGAGCCUGCGGUUUAAUUGGACUCAACGCCGGUAACCUUACCAGCCCCGACUACGGUGAUGACGGUCAGGUUGAUGACCUCACCACGAUGCCGUAGAGAGGUGGUGCAUGGCCGCCGUCAGCUCGUACCGUGAGGCGUCCUGUUAAGUCAGGCAACGAGCGAGA